CCUACGGGUGGCAGCAGUGAGGAAUAUUGGUCAAUGGACGCAAGUCUGAGCCAGCCAUGCCGCGUGCAGGAAGACGGCUCUAUGAGUUGUAAACUGCUUUUGUACGAGGGUAAACGCAGAUACGCGUAUCUGUCUGAAAGUAUCGUACGAAUAAGGAUCGGCUAACUCCGUGCCAGCAGCCGCGGUAAUACGGAGGAUUCAAGCGUUAUCCGGAUUUAUUGGGUUUAAAGGGUGCGUAGGCGGUCGGAUAAGUUAGAGGUGAAAUCCCGAGGCUCAACUUCGGAAUUGCCUCUGAUACUGUUCGGCUAGAGAGUAGUUGCGGUAGGCGGAAUGUAUGGUGUAGCGGUGAAAUGCUUAGAGAUCAUACAGAACACCGAUUGCGAAGGCGACUAUCUGGCACAUAACUGACGCUGAGGAGCGAAAGCGUGGGUAGCAAACAGGAUUAGAUACCCUUGUAGUC
rnacentral:rRNA from 1 species